AUUGAACGCUGGCGGCAGGCCUAACACAUGCAAGUCGAACGGUAACAGGAAGAAGCUUGCUUCUUUGCUGACGAGUGGCGGACGGGUGAGUAAUGUCUGGGAAACUGCCUGAUGGAGGGGGAUAACUACUGGAAACGGUAGCUAAUACCGCAUAACGUCGCAAGACCAAAGAGGGGGACCUUCGGGCCUCUUGCCAUCGGAUGUGCCCAGAUGGGAUUAGCUUGUUGGUGGGGUAACGGCUCACCAAGGCGACGAUCCCUAGCUGGUCUGAGAGGAUGACCAGCCACACUGGAACUGAGACACGGUCCAGACUCCUACGGGAGGCAGCAGUGGGGAAUAUUGCACAAUGGGCGCAAGCCUGAUGCAGCCAUGCCGCGUGUAUGAAGAAGGCCUUCGGGUUGUAAAGUACUUUCAGCGGGGAGGAAGGGAGUAAAGUUAAUACCUUUGCUCAUUGACGUUACCCGCAGAAGAAGCACCGGCUAACUCCGUGCCAGCCGCCGCGGUAA
rnacentral:rRNA from 1 species